CCUUUCGUCCAGCGGCGGGCCGGGAGCAGCACCGGAGAGCUGGGACCCGCGGUCGCCGUCCGCGGUCCUGGGAAAGGCCGCGGAUAGAUCGGACAGUGAGGCUCCCUGUAGAGCUGUGGUUAAAUCAGUCUGCCCUGUGGCCACCCCGUAGGGCGUCCAGCUUUGUCCAGUAGGCUGCAGUGUCUGCUCAAUGCCGGGUGUAAAUAAAAAACUAUCGAAAUCAGCCAGGCUAAUGUUGCUUUCCAAAAUUAAGUGACUUGGGUGAUGUAGAAAUCGCGACUCAGAAUGUCUAGAAAGCAUGUUCGGAAUGCUUUCCAGAUCUCCACCCUUCAGCAAUUCGGUUUAUUCAAGGUUGAAACAGGGACAUGUCUAAACAAAAUAUAUGGUCAUUUUCAUCUCUGACUGGAACUUGAAUUGGCUUCAGCAAGAACCAGCUCACACCUAAGUCAUCAACAAGACUCUUGCAGAUUUCUUCUGGAGAGACAGAAAUAUCUGCAGCCAGGAGGACGGCUGUUGGAGGAAUUCAGGAGCAUUCGACGGAGUCUCCUGUAGUCGGCGAGUGGUCAGUUUUACACAUCCUCCUCAGGACCUCACAGGCAAGAACAGCAGGAUCUGCUUCCUUCAUGAAACCUUGGCUCUGUUCUAUCCAUCGACAGUCCUUCAGGAUACCUAACCUGUCCAGAAACCAAGAGAUAACGCGGACAUGCCGAGGGAUCCCCUUUACAUCCUUGUGCUCAAGUGGAUUCAGUGUCACAGUUCAAGCGCUUCUUUCUGAAAAGCCCCCUUUGGGAAGAGCAUUCUGCAGGCUGCCCCAUUUACAGUUCACAACGCGUUCUCACGACCGGCCAGGAAGAACACCACAGACCAGAAUCUUCUGCGGCAAAGCUUUAUUUCUUACAUCUUCAGGAGCCAGGGUGCAGGAAGCAAGAGAGCAAGAAGCAAGAGAGCAAGAAGCAAGAGAGCAAGAAGCAAGAGAGCAAGAAGCAAGAGAGAGAGAAAACGAAACCCCGUCCCUCUUAAGGAGCAUUCUCCUUCGCCUCGGACGUGUCACUCCCUGAUUGGCUGCAGCCCAUCGGCCGAGUUGACGUCACGGGGAAGGCAGAGCACAAGUAGUCAUAAGAUACCCUUGGCACAUGCGCAGAUUAUUUGUUUACCACUUAGAACACAGCUGUCAGCGCCAUCUUGUAACGGCGAAUGUGGGCGCGGCUCCCAACAUCUCCCCCUAUCCUUUUAAUAAGAGCAAAUAGGCCACCCAUAUUAAUGAGAGUGGAGAUAGAGGUCAAAUCCCCAGUGUGUAGGUAAAGGAGCCAUGUACAGGAUUAGCUCUUAGGCUUACAGGCUUUUACCCAGAGCAACCCUGACCUGCUCCCGUGUCGUUUUGCCUGGGGGAAGGGAACUAGGACACUGAACCUUCAUGAAAGAUGACAUGUCUCCCUAGAAUAGGCUCAUAUAUGCCGCAGAGCCUUUCCAUUGCAGUGCUUAGCCUUGCAACUCUCUCGGGCUGCUGAAGCACACUCACUCUAUCCCGUGCAAUGAGUCUAGCCUCAUGGGAUAUAAGAGCUGAGUGGCCAGCGACCUAUUGCCUAAGCAUAGAUAUAUCAGGGGAAGCUCCAUGUUCUAGUCCUGCAAGCGCCUGGGCAAUAACCACCUUGUCUCUCCUAGUUUGGGCCUUAAGCUUACAGACCAAUCAAAGAAGCAACACUAAUCCACAGCAAAGUGUAUCUCCAAAUAAUAUUAAUCCCACCCAUUUUUUAAAGAAAGAAAAUGCUGAGGAGAUCCAAUUGGGUAAUCCUUUGGUCAGCGACAGGUCCAAGCGCGUGGAGUUGACCUGAAGUCUCAAUUCCCGAAGGAUCUGUUCAAAUUCAGCCAUCCAAUUCUGUAACAUAUACUGAAAAAGACUUUUUGACAAAUUAGCUGUCCUAGUAAAUUUAACAUACUGAAUGGAAAUAACACACAAUCCCGGAAACUUUUGUUCACAUCCCUGCUGAGUUAUUUGUCAUAAUACAUCUAGUUGUAUCUG
rnacentral:lncRNA from 1 species